GUACCUACGGGAGGCAGCAGUAGGGAAUCUUCCACAAUGGACGAAAGUCUGAUGGAGCAACGCCGCGUGAGUGAAGAAGGGUUUCGGCUCGUAAAGCUCUGUUGGUAGUGAAGAAAGAUAGAGGUAGUAACUGGCCUUUAUUUGACGGUAAUUAAUUAGAAAGUCACGGCUGACUACGUGCCAGCAGCCGCGGUAAUACGUAGGUGGCAAGCGUUGUCCGGAUUUAUUGGGCGUAAAGCGAGGGCAGGCGGUU
rnacentral:rRNA from 1 species